rnacentral:rRNA from 1 species
GACGAACGCUGGCGGCGUGCUUAACACAUGCAAGUCGAACGGUAAGGCCCUUCGGGGUACACGAGUGGCGAACGGGUGAGUAACACGUGGGUGAUCUGCCCUGCACUUCGGGAUAAGCCUGGGAAACUGGGUCUAAUACCGGAUAGGACUCCUGGCUUCAUGGUUGGGGGUGGAAAGCUUUUGCGGUGUGGGAUGGGCCCGCGGCCUAUCAGCUUGUGGGUGUGGUAAUGGCCUACCAAGGCGACGACGGGUAGCCGGCCUGAGAGGGUGACCGGUCACACUGGGACUGGGAUACGGCCCAGACUCCUAGGGGAGGCAGCAGUGGGGAAGAUUGCACAGUGGGCGCAAGCCUGAUGCAGCGACGCCGCGUGAGGGAUGACGGCCUUCGGGUUGUAAACCUCUUUCAGCUAUGACGAAGCGCAAGUGACGGUAGUAGCAGAAGAAGGACCGGCCAACUACGUGCCAGCCGCCGCCGUAA